UAGGGAAUCUUCGGCAAUGGGCGAAAGCCUGACCGAGCAACGCCGCGUGAAUGAUGAAGGCCUUCGGGUUGUAAAAUUCUGUUAUAAGGGAAGAAUGGCUCUAGUAGGAAAUGGCUAGAGUGUGACGGUACCUUAUGAGAAAGCCACGGCUAACUACGUGCCAGCAGCCGCGGUAAUACGUAGGUGGCGAGCGUUAUCCGGAAUUAUUGGGCGUACAGAGCGCGCAGGUGGUUGAUUAAGUCUGAUGUGAAAGCCCACGGCUUAACCGUGGAGGGUCAUUGGAAACUGGGCGACUUGAGUGCAGAAGAGGGAAGUGGAAGUCCAGGUGUAGCGGUGAAAUGCGUAGAGAUAUGGAGGAACACCAGUGGCGAAGGCGGCUUCCUGGUCUGUAACUGACACUGAGGCGCGAAAGCGUGGGGAGCAAACA
rnacentral:rRNA from 1 species